UUCACUGUUCAGGAGUUAUGGUUCUUGAAUGAUUGAAAAAUGGUGUUUCCAGUCGUGCCCGUGCUUUAACUCGUGAAACAUUCAACCAAAGCUUUUCAAAUUUUAACAUGUUGUUACUGAUGACAAAAUGGAGGUCAAUUUCAAAUUGGUGAUUGUCACUUUUACCGUUCAGCAGUUAUGGUCCUUGUGCUAUUGAAAAAUGCCAGGACACAAAUCAAUGUUAAAAAAUCCAGUUUGCUGUCACUCUGACAGCCUCUUAAAUUGUUUUUUUGUCAAUCAGUACAUUUUUUUUUUUUGGUUUCAAAAAUGGCUAUCUUCUCUAUAUUUUCCACUCGAACAUUGUCUUAAAAUUAUGCAAUAUUCUGAUUUUGAAUGUCUUUGUUUAUACCUCUCACCUUAAACAUCUGAUAUUUUUAUUAUCUAGAGCUCUGUUAAAAAAAGAAAAAAAAAAUCUAAAAAAAUGAAAAGAACAAAAAAUGAUAUGAAAACAAAAUGAUGAACAGAGUUCUAGAUAAUAAACAUUUAGGGUGGUGUAAAAAGUGGGCAUAUUUUAAAUUUUCUUUUUAUGCCCCACCUAGGGCAAAUUAUUUCAAUAUCAAUUUAUUACAUGCAGGGGUCACUAAAGAUUAAAAAGGGGGAUUUAGGAGUAGGGAAUCGUAUUAGAAAAAAAAAUUAAAUAAUAUGAAAACAAAAUUGUAAACAGAGUUCUAGAUAAUAAACAUUGAGUAUGGUGUAAAAAAGUGGGCAUAUUUUAAAUUUUCUUUUUUCUCAAUAUAUCGUUAAAAUCAUAUACAUCUGAUAUUUAUAUUAUGUAGAGCUCUGUUAAAAAAAAGUAUAUAAACACAAAAUUGUAAAUAAAGGUUAGUGUAAAAAAGUGUGCAUAUUUCUAUUUUUUUUUUUCUCAAUAUAGUGAUGAAAUUAUAUACAUCUGAUAUUUUUAUUAUCUAGGGCUCUGUAAAAAAAAAAUAAUUAGAAAACAAUAUUGUAAACAAAGUUCUAGAUAAUAAAAAUUGAGGGUGGUGUAAAAAGUGGGCAUAUUAAAAAAAAAAAAAGAAUUUUCAAUAUAUUUAUUAAUACAACAUAUUUUUUGGUGAAUGAUUUGUGCUGGAUAAGUUUUUUCUUUCAUUAGUAUAUGACUUUUUUUUUCAAGCUGUACAUUUUUUGUGGUAUCGUAAAUGGCUUUAAAGUUGGAAUGUUUAAUUUUAGUUAUUUGGAGACAAAAUCUAUCUUCUCUGAUUAUUACACUUUAACAGUGUCUUAAAUUUUGCAAUAUUCUGAUUUUGAAUGUGUUUGCUAAUACCUCUAACUUUAAACAGCUGAUAUAUGUAUUGUCUAGAGCUCUGUAAAAAAUAUAUGAAAACAAAAUUGUACACAGAGUUCUAGAUAAUAAACAUUAAAGGUGGUGUAAUAAGGGGGCAUAUUUUAAAUUUUGGAAUAAUUAUCCAAAUAUGUGAAUUUUUUGUUCAGUGUUAUAAAGGAAAGUAUAAUAUAUAUUUGGGUAUAAAGUGGAAUAUUCAAAGUGGGAGAGAAAGAAAUUUGGAUGGCAAGAACUGAAUAUUCCAAAUUUGAAGUGUUCAAAGUUAUAUUCGUUGAUAUAUAUAUAUAAUGGAAUAUCUAAAGUGUGGGAGAGGGAGAGAUACAGAUUUUGAAGAAUAAUGAGGGAGAGAAAAGUUUGGUUUAGGAGAAAGAAUGAGAAAAGGAGGAUAUUAAUUGUAAAAACAGAUUGUCAGGGACUAGAAUAUUUGUUUAUUACUAUAAAUAAUGCAGUGUAUAAUUUGUUAAAAUAUUUAUUGUGAAGUCUUGGAGAAUUGUGAAACUUUAGAACUGUGUCUUCAAUGAUAAUCAUGGCAAUGGUGGACAAUAGGAUAAUGUUUGAAGAAACUGAAUUUUUAUAUAAAAAUGAAAUAGAAGAAAGAUCCAACAAAAUUCUACAAUGAUAUCUUAGAGAAUGAAAGACUGUGAGAAUGACUAUAAGCUUAAAUGAUUUCUAGGAGAUUGUUGGACAUGUACAGUCGGACAACUGGCACAACUCCAGCUAAAAGUAAUUGCUAAAAAAUCUACGAACUUACAUAAUGUUCUAUAGUGAAGACAGAUGUUCCUGAGUUGCAAUGAAGUAUUCAGAAGACAGACCGAGAGCUUCCCUUUUGCAAUAAAGUAUCCAGAACACAUAGCUGAUCAGAUUUCCAUCUCUUCAUUACCAAUUCUGGCAUUUUCCCAAGAAAAACACAAGAUUUCAUUAUUCAACAUGAAAGGAGAAAUUCUUUAGAUUUACACUGGUGUAGAUCUCAAGGCGAGGAUCCUAUACAGACCUGCAGGAUGAUUUAAGAUUUCUUGUAGUCAACAUCUUGUCCUUGAGUAAAUCCUUGGACUUUGGAGCAAAAGAUUAUAUAAUUCUAGAUUGAUGCAGUAUUGUCUUUUUCAAGAUAUUAAACUUAUGGAGAAUAUUCUGAAUAGAUUAAUGAUUGAUGCAGUAUUGUCUUUUUCAAGAUAUUAAACUUGUGGAGAAUAUUCUGAAUAGAUUAAUGAUGUACAUCAAAUCAUGCUUCAAAGAUCAAACCAGUAGAAUUUCUUGAAAAGAG